AAUCAACGCUGGCGGCGUGCCUCAGACAUGCAAGUCGAACGAUUAAAGCUCUCUUCGGAGAGUGUAUAGAGUGGCGCACGGGUGAGUACCACGUAAGUAAUCUACCUUUGAGUGGGGAAUAACGUCCGGAAACGGACGCUAAUACCGCAUAAUGCAGCGGCAUCGCAAGAUGACAGUUGUUAAAGAUUUAUCGCUUGAAGAGGAGCUUGCGGCAGAUAGCUAGUUGGUAAGGUAAUGGCUUACCAAGGCUACGAUCUGUAACCGGUCUAAGAGGACGGUCGGUCACACUGACACUGAA
rnacentral:rRNA from 1 species